AGUGUCUGGCCUGUGAUUUGAGAGAAGAGUGGUCCUGUGCUGCAGCUGGAUUUCCUUGGCUGGGAAAGUGGAAAGGAAGAAUGUGUCACCUGUAGCUGAAGGUGAUGGACUCCAAUACCAGCAAAAGCCUAGAAGUAAUGAUGUGCUAAUAACCUCAGUGCUCACUCACGAGGGAGUGUUGUCUGCAGUGAGAAUUCCCCUUUGCUGUGUGGGCUGUAGCAGGAAAUCUGGAGAAGAUGGGUAAUGCUGCCAAGGCUUAAGGAAUGCAGAUACUUACAUGAAGCAGAACUAUGCACUGUGGGAUUCACAUUCUCUGAACCGGAGAGAAGCAGAGAAGAGAAUUACCAAACAAUUCUUAUCUCAUUUGCUGCGCCUGUGUUUGUGCACAAGUGGAUUGCAUUAUGGAAGACUGUUUACCUGAAGGGAUUUGGUAAUUGGAUUCUGGUGUGAGUGUUUUGUUUUCUUGACCAAUCUCUGCAAGCUGUGUCCUGAUGGUCAGUCAUGAGAUUCUGUUGAGUGCUUGUGCAGUGUCAGUUUAGAUGUAGUGUAAUAUAGUAUAGUAUAAUAAGGUAAACAUUAAUUAGCCUUCUGAUAUCAUGGAAUCAGAUGCAUCAUUCUUCCCAGAUGUUGGGGUUGCCUUGCUUUUCCAAUAAUGCACAGGAAGGGAAAGCUCUAGCAAGGUUCUCUGCCCAAUAUUACUGUAAAAAUAAUCUCAAACCUGGUUGUACUAAUCUUUUAUAGUGUUGUGAGGGCUGUGGAUUCAUUUCUUCAUUGAAGGUAGUGCUAGGACUGAAAUUUGGCAUAAAUUUAUGGUUAUUCCUGGUCAGUUCCAAAGUUUCAGAUGUGAAUUUACCUGUGUGUUAAUGAGCAAAAUUCAGAGCUGCAUGUUGUAGUUUGCAAUAUGUCCAGGUACUACACCUUUUCUACUGCGUCUGUGUUUGAUGCAUUUAAUCUGUCUAUUCAGAGGAAAUCUGCUGGAUUUGGGCUUUAAUAGAGUAAGUUGUUCUCAAGGAAGGUAGCACAGGCUGAGUUUUCUAUUGCUACUAAGGGAGGGCUAAUAGUUAACAGCUAGUGACAGAUUUAUGUUUUCACUUGUAGGCUACCCAGCAGUGGGCCCAGCUCAAACAUAAAGUAUCGCUUGGAAAAUUUGGCUUUGUUAGUGAAAAAUAUGAAGUUCAUUUUAAAAGCUGUACUCAUUUUAAGACUAAAAAAAGUGCUUUCUUCCUGUUGGGAGAAGAGAAAUUCUCUAAGGAGAAAUAGCAAAGAGUUUCUGUCAAUAAAAGAGUCUGUGUAAUUUAAUACCAGGCAGCUUUUAAUACAAUAGGAGAAAAAGAGCAGACACUUGCCUCUGUUAUGAAGGGGAAAAAUAUAAAAACCUGCCUGCAGUAUGUUACCUAAAUUUAGCCACAGAGGGGCCAAUCCUCUUGGAUACUCAAAAAUCUGUGUGAAGUAAGUAAAGGCUAUAGAUAAGCUGUGCUUGGAGACCCUCUAUCCCCAUUUUCCAAAGAGCUGGUAAUAAGGAGAUGCGCUAGGCAGCAGCAGUGGCCAGACUGUAAUGCAGCCCUUGCUUGUUUAGUCCUUCUCAUUGCAGAAUCACAGAAUAUUAAAGUUUCUGUUUGAUUUUUCUUUUCAACAAUAUAAGUGGCUGAGGUUAGAGAUGUGUGAAUGGCUUCCCUCAAAUGAUAAAGUUACUCAGAAUCAUCCCAGGUUUAAGCUUGAAUUGUUCCAGCGUUCAAACAGUGGUGGGAUCAUGCUUUGAACAAUGCAUAUCCAUACAGGUCUUAAACUGCUUACAGGUGUCCUGCAGACCUUCUCUUUCCUGACAUCUGUACUCAAAAGCCUAUCUAGGAGAGGCAUCGGCAUCUGAUCCUCAACACAAUGCUUGACAACAAAAUAAAAAACUUGAGUUCAGAAGCCAAAAUAAACCACAGGUCGUCAUUCAGAAUGCAAAGAAAAUGGGCACUAGCUUCUUUGUCAAAUAUCAGUUCUGUAUUUUUUUUUAAAAAUCAAUUUUGUAAUGGUUUCUUAUGUUGAAAUCAAAAAUGAAUUGUAGAUUUCUCAGAAGUGUUGCUAUUAGACAUUUCUGAUGUCUUAAUUUAAGUGCCAUUUUAAGUCCUGAUAGCAGCAUUUCUAGUUUCAUGGGCCUGAGAAGCAAGCUUGUAUCCCUUACUGGCAUGCACUUCCAGUGAGUUUUUCAAAGAGCAAGUUAUUAGUACUGUUAUUUCCUUUGUCCACAUUUGAAACAAGCCCAGAAACUGUAAACAACUGGAAACUAUUGCCAACUUCUGUUGUAUUAACGAUCCUACAAUGCAGUUCUCUGUUAAACAACUUGCUUCUAAAAGUCUUAGAGGAGGAAUGUGUAAUGAUGCUUUUAGUGUGCAAAAGCUGCAUCUCAGGGUGCUCACAGCAGAGUCAGAGCUGCAGCAGGAGUCCUGUUUCAUGUGACACUCACCUUGUUCUCAUACGCUUCUACAGUUCUGGCAGUGGUACUUUGACUCUUGAUUAUUCCCUGCAUCCUCAACUCCUCAAGAAUGAUGGUUUUUGCCUCUCUGUUUCCUCUAAGGGUGAUGGUUUACUGAUGAACUCAUUGGUGAGCAGUGUGUCUUCAAAAGAUGUAGACAUUAAAACUCAAUACUUGUAUAGCACUUGGCAUUCAAGGAAAGCUUCAUGAUGUGUUUCCA